GUGUCAGCCGCCGCGGUAAUACGUAGGUGGCAAGCGUUGUCCGGAUUUAUUGGGUUUAAAGGGUGCGUAGGCGGUCUUAUAAGUCAGUGCUGAAAUAUCCCGGCUUAACCGGGAGGGUGGCAUUGAUACUGUAGGACUUGAGUAAAGUUGAGGUUGGCGGAAUUGACGGUGUAGCGGUGAAAUGCUUAGAUAUCGUCAAGAACACCUAUAGCGAAGGCAGCUAACUAAGCUUUAACUGACGCUGAGGCACGAAAGUGUGGGGAUCAAACAGGAUUAGAUACCCCCGUAGUCC
rnacentral:rRNA from 1 species